rnacentral:misc_RNA from 1 species
UGCCAUAGCCCAUAGUAUAUUUGCAAACAAUUCUUGUCUUCAAAAUAAGAAUGAUUAUGUAGUUCAUGGAAGGACAACUCGGGAGUAAUCAGAUGCACUGCAUUUACAAGUCAGCCAGGCUCUCGUUGGAAAUGUUAAACGCUACUUGGACAUACAAAAUAAGAAAAAAUAUUUAUAUAAUGGCAAUAAUUUGUGAAACCACAAUAAAGAGGUAGUCAAGUUGAUACAGUAAUA